rnacentral:rRNA from 1 species
AACGAACGCUGGCGGCAUGCCUAACACAUGCAAGUCGAACGAGACCUUCGGGUCUCGUGGCGCACGGGUGCGUAACGCGUGGGAACCUGCCCUUAGGUUCGGCAUAACUCCCCGAAAGGGGUGCUACUCCCGGAUAAUGUCUUCGGACCAAAGAUUUAUCGCCUUUGGAUGGGCCCGUGUUGGAUUAGCUAGUUGGUAGGGUAAAAGCCUACCAAGGCGACGAUCCAUAGCUGGUCUGAGAGGAUGAUCAGCCACACUGGGACUGAGACACGGCCCAGACUCCUACGGGAGGCAGCAGAGGGGAAUAUUGGACAAGGGGCGAAAGCUGAUCCAGCAAUGCCGCGUGAGUGAUGAAGGCCUUAGGGUUGUAAAGCUCUUUUACCCGGGAUGAUAAUGACAGUACCGGGAGAAUAAGCUCCGGCUAACUCCGUG